GCUUGUGGGAGGCGAAGCUGUGCUCACAUACUAUAGAUUCCAUUAGAACGAGUAGGGAGAUGUAAUGGGGCUCUCCUGGGAGAUGCAGGACUUUUAGAUACCUAAUUUGGAAGUCCGUUCUGGUAUCCAUUUUCAACAUCCCAAGAGUAAUGAUUAAUCCUGUACUCCAGGUUUCUCUGAAUCAGUUUGUAGCUGUAGUAAAUAUGGGCUGAACAUGAUAACGUCGUUGAUGCUGUGGGUAAAUGACUUGAGGCAAGAGAAGCUCAGGUUUUGUGGCAUUAAUUCGCUGUGCACGGUCAUCUGGCAGUGACUUCGACUCGGGAAUCUGCAGCUGAGAUAAAAGAGGCUCUGUCAGACCUGAGGAAUGUGGUGUUUUGCAAUAUAAGUAUCUAAUACGCUGAAGGCCCCAUAAAGGCAACCCAGCAAUGCUGUGUUCUCAUUCCUACAGCAUCCCGUCAGCAUGGACUCAGAGAUCUUCUGGAUCUUCUAGUGGCUAUGGCCUUUCACAGGGCAUUUGGUAGAUGCAACCGCAUGAAAAUUCCAGUAAUAUCUUUCUGUUAUUCACAGAUAUAAUGCAAAUACUGGUGUCCUGACACAAGGUUGAAGUGAUUCUCACCACGACAAAGCUGUCCUGAAUUUCAGCAGAGCCCGUGCAAGGUUCAUCUCAGCUUUUGACCUGGUGCUGAAUGUGUUCUUUCACCCAUGUGUCACUUGCAGAGGAAUACUGUGGAGAUGAAGUGCCACACAGCCAUCACAGGGCAUGUUACCUGUGGGAGCUGGAGGAAAGUCACAGGCUGGGACCAUAAGAGGGCCCUAGGACAGCUGAGCACUUCAAUCACUGCAGCAGCUCACAGGAACUCAGUGACGCAAUGUAGCCCUCUUAGGAGCUGAAGCAUUUCUGCAACCCAAAUGUCUCUGAUCUGGCUCCAGCAGCAAUGCAGAAGGUUCCGGGAGCAGGACAGGACUUGUUGUGAGGAGUGGGAGCUGCUGGCGUCUUUGGGCUGAAAAGCCCUGAUUUAAAGUGGGCUGGAUAAAAAUAGACAGUGAAGUCAUGACGCCUUCAGAAGAAGAACCAGGUUGUGUUUAAGCAGUGACUGAGAACUUGGUUCACUCCCAGUGCCCCCAUGGCCAUGGUGCCACGAGGACAUGUCUCAUUCCCAGUACGCAGUGGUCAGCUGUGCCACAUGGAUCAAACUGGCAACCAGUGCUCAGAGCUGAACUUUCCAAACUCUGCUAUAAACAAACCCAAAAUCUAGAUCACACCAGCCCUGGAAUGUGACAUGCUCAGUGCCUGGAUCAGAGCCAUCUACAAGGAUGAACCAAUCCCAGACUUGACAUGGCCAUGAGCAGCGAUUUUUGGGGUCUCCUUACCCUGACCCCCAAAUAUCCUCUUCCAAAAAGAUCUGGUGAAGCUGGCUACAGCAAGGAGCCAACAUCAGGCUGUGGCAUCUCUGAUGCUCUAAGUGAAAAUGUCCUCCAGCCACACAGCUUGGACUUUGCCCUCCAGAAAUGAUGUGAAGGUACCAACAUCCUUGGCCACACAGGGACACCUUCCACACAAGAAACAAUCCUGACUCCAUCCCCAACCUCAGCAGACCUUCUUGAAGGCAAGUGUGGGCACAACCAGCAAGUUCUCCUCCUGCUUUCUCCAUCACCUGGAAACAAUCUGCAUCACUGGAGGUUUUUAUUUCCCAGGAGACUGUGAAGAGAGAGAAGCCUGGAGUUAAUCAAAGUCUGGGGAGUGCACAGGAGUGGCCAUGGCUGGAGGAAGCUCACAGGCUUUCAUGCUGGAGAAAGGGCAGAGCUAUGCUGGAGUCAGGGGAAAUGGAGUGUGUGGAGGGCUGUGGAUUUGUUCGGUGAGCAGCACUGUGAGAACAUGAAGAACAAGCCCUUAAUUUUUCAGGUGUGAGAUAAGGAGAUGGCCCAGGGUGCAAAGCCACAGCUGAGGGUCCAGGCAGUGCUAGAGGCAUGUGUAACAUCACUCAGUGCCCAUGAAUGGCCCAGAGCUCUGUUGUGUGACUUGGUGCCCCAGUCCAGUUUGACGCCAAAAGGAGCCAAGUGUUCUGGGGCAGAGGCUGGGGAUCACUCUCAUCCUGGGGGUAUUCAAGUUGCAGUCUGCAAGCGGCACACUGUGAACAUUAUCCUCUGUAGGUCAGGCUACCCUGCAAAGAAUCCCCUUUAAUAUAAAUUUCAGCACAUGAUGCGAGAGUGGAAGGAGCCUGCCCUGCCCCAGCAGGUCAUUUCAGGCUUGGCUGAUCUUCUUUCCUCUUGAGGGGAUGCUUGCCAGCAUCUCGGAAAUGGCACCAGUGCGAUCUGCAGCGCAGGCACAGCACUGUCAGUCCAGAACCUGCUCUCUGCAGCUCGGAGCGGCAAAUACCUCACAAAGCAGGAGGAUGAAGAUGGACAGAGUGGGAGCAGCUCCCUCUGCCAGCCUGGCUCCGUCUUUGCCAAGCAGGAGGCAGCAGUGCCCAUUCCCAUGUCGGGAACUCAUGACUGAGUUCUUAGGUGCAGCAGGGACGUGGUGACAAUCCUGGCCUCGCCCGCUGCUCCCUGUGGUUUCAGUGGUUUGUUGUCCUGUGUACAACAGAUGAUUUCUGUUGACAGUGGCCGUUCAGGGAAUGCUUUAUGGCUUGUAGCAUAUAGGAGUCUAUGGAACCCUCUGGCAACAGUCGCAGAGUCUAGCACUGCUCCAAGGAACUGACCCUGCCGGUGCCUCCCAGCUCUGUUUCCCUGGAUCACCGUGUUUGGAUAUCUCUGAUGUUGAGAUCAAAGGGCCUGAGUUUUUCCACAGGAGUGGAAACACCUAGUGGAAGGGAUGCAGGCACAAAGAACAUUGUUCUAUGCUCUCAGCAUAACCCUUACAUCGCUGUGUGGAGAAAGGGCACACACAGAAAAGUAAAACUGGGGAUAUCACCCAUGAGUGUUCCCGCCGGAUUGCUCUGCUAGAUGAAAAGCUGCAUACACUUCAUGCUGACCUGACCCACAGGAGCUGGCUGCACUGCGUGCAAGAUGUGUCCAGGUAGGAUUUGUACCCGGAUCCGAUGUGCACCCCAGUCGCUGCACCACCACAGUCAAGGCAAUGUGUCUUUCUGGGCUGAUUAGGGAAGGUGUUGGGGACCUUGCAGCCUAACACGGUAAAGCAGCCAAGACUGACAGGCCAAGGCUUCUCUCACUCUGCACAUUAUAUGUGCCAAUAAUUGCAGGUCUUUCUAAUUAAAAGUCAAUUAUGUGGCUUUGGCAGCUGCAAGCCAAGUCCCCCAGGCAAGCGCCGGGCAGAGGCUGGGCAUUGGAGAAGGACAGGGUCAUCCCUGGAGCCCAGCACACUCCCUGCUGAGUGGCAGUCAGGUACCACAGAGGGGCCAGACAUCCAGGAGAGCCCUCAAAAGUGGGAAUGAAAUCAGAGCCAACUUUUCCAGAGGCAUGGGGUGGCGAGGGGUGCCCCGGCCCUCGAGCCAUUGUGCUGAAGUAGAGUGAAAUGCUCUGUGCUCACUGCAAAAUUGUUUUCCAGGUGGCAAUUGUUACUCUCUGCUAACCACAUAGCUCUGGGAGCUGGGGCUCUGCGGCAAAGGUAGCAAAUCCCAGGACAGAUUCAUGGGAGCUGGCAACACUCUGCCUCUCCCAGGAAAAGAGAAGGGCCAGCUCGCUGCCAUGCGCUUAAAAUAAUACAAAGGAAGAGAUGGUUGAUCUUAAGGAGUGCAGUUUCCUGUUGGCUUGUUGAUUGCUGAUCUAACAGCUUCUUCUCCUUUCUUAUUUCCGUGUGAGGACCACUCAGUUUUGGUUCAGGUACGUCUUCCCAUGGGCUAAUAACCUCUCUGAGCAAACUCACCCUGAACGAAGCCAGGAGCAGCUGCCAGAUGCCAGCACGAAUGUAUAAUGAGCUGCGGACUUCCCUCUACCAUCUGAGCGCUGUUACCAGCCCGCAACACUCCUCCUGACGACACCGAGCGCCUGUUCUUGCUGUCGCCCCCACAGCCGGUGGCAUUAUGGUGCUGCCGUAUGGAAUGCUCAGCAGACCAUGUCUUGCCCACUGUUGCACAGUCAGACACCUUCUCCACCUCUCCUGCAGCAGUGACCCUCACUCAUAUGAGACCGUCCCCAGGGCAGCGGGGGCUGUCUUCCUCCAGGGCUUGCCAGCAGCAUCCAGUCUUCGCGGGAUUGUUCCCUUCCCUGUGUUUGGCUUAAUCCAAGGCAAAGAAAGCAUUUGGGAAUGAAAUCCAGGUUCAGCCCCAUUGGGGUUGGGGAAGACUCCUCCAGAGGGCAGCUCCAGCCAAAUAAAAGCCAUCCCUGGUGGGUCAUGGUUAACCUCCGGACGUGUAGCACCCAGCGAGGAAAAAAGCAGAGUUUCCCACCUAAUUAUUAAGUUACUAAUUAGCAGCUGCCCCACCAGAGAAAAACCAUCAC